rnacentral:lncRNA from 1 species
UACCAUGUGAAGGCGAAACUUCAAGGAAUAUAUUUUUAAACAAUUUGGAGCUUGCGUAACUUCGUGCUACAUAAUCACCAGUAAUCUCUUUGUGUUCCCUAGAGGCAACGCCCGUGUGAAAAGACAUUUAUAACUACGUACGUAUCUAUUGGAUGUUAAACAUGGAAAAUGCAAAAUAUGUCAGCUAUUAAGAAACGAAUGGGUUCAAGACGUGAAUCGAAUUCAACGAGGAAAUAAAGUCUCAAACGUGAUGUAACAUAGAAACACGAAACAGUGCAAGGUAAAAUCCUGUGCGGCGCUAAUAACUCCGUCGUAACAGCGUUCUUAACUACCCUACGCGAGGAACGAAACUUGUAAAUCAAGUUGUUUAGCUCCUUUCGAAGGCGGCAGACGGGACAGAGGUUGGUUCGUUCACAAUAACUAAUUCUUGAUGGUACGCGAACGCGCGGGGCUAAUUGAAGCACGCUUGAAUCUACAAGAAUAUUAGGGCCGGGUCGACACGAGCAUAGAAACGAAGCGUUAUCCCAGCGAUUGUCCCAUUCGCUCGUCGGUUCCGCGCUUGUUUCUACCGCGGCCGGAGGAAAAUUUGUACGAGCCCCGACGAACGUAAACAAUGGAUCCGGCGCCGUUGCUGAAUAACCUCGUUACCGAUGGAGGAGCAUAAAGAUCACGUCCACAGUGGCGGAGAGCGAUAGGAUCCUCUAGAAACUCCUCCGGCCGAUGUAUUUGCUUGCUCGAGUACGCCUCUGCUAAUUAUAUUACUCUUUGAAACUGUAUCCGCCAGUCUUUGGAACAUUGAUCUGCUAUUGUGCGCCAGGCCAUGGUAUCUACAGGAUGACUCGGAAACGCGGGUCCAGGGGAUAAAUCUACCCACUGAGACAAGUAAAAAAUAUCGUACCUACAUGCGUUCUUUUAUACUUUUCGAAUUAUAGACGACGAAGCAGAAUAUCUUGCUGCUUCGGUUUUUCAUGAUCAAUCAUGUUACGCGUCACACUUUUGCGUCAAUGUUUCAUGAACGUUAUAAUUCGCUUCUGCAGAACAUGAAACUCUUUCGGGUUUGCUCUGAAGAAGCGAGUUGUAACGUUCAAAAAUAAAAAGACGUGACAUUCAUCAAGCGUCGUGAAAGUUUAAACGAAUGAAUUUAACCACAUUGGCCUGAGAAUGGUUCGUACGAUACUUUUUACUUACUUCAGUGUGUAGACUCACCCGCCGGGCAUGUAUUUAUGAAUCGCCCUGUACAGUAUAUAUAUACAUAUAUACCGAGGAAUUAUACUUCGUUACAUUCGUUGUUGUAUCGUAUUUCCCUGCUGAAGACUGUUCGAAUACAUCCUCCGAGAACUACCGGACGUGAAGUCCCGUCCUGAAGAAGAUCAUCAGCUUACCAGGGGAAAAGAUCUGAAGGAGUUCGAAGAAGUUUCUCCGAACGAACGGACGAGCAAACGAGCGUGCGGUUUCUCGUGUGCAUAUAUGUAUAUGGCCGCAGGUGUAUUCAUGCGGACAGAACGAACACCGAGGACCUGUGUAACUUGACGGAAAAUGGUCCGACACAUUCGAAAUGAAAAUGCAGUCGAAGGUAAUUGGAAAAGUAAGUUGAGAAGCGGAACGACGAAACGACAGCGCACCGCACUGGACGUGCUUUUGAGACAGAUACUUAAAUCUUUGCUUACAAUUCAUAUUGAUCGAUCGUGUACGCUAUUAUGAAGUGGCUAGAAU